UACGUAGGGUGCAAGCGUUAAUCGGAUUUAUUGGGCGUAAAGAGCGUGUAGGCGGCCAUACAGGUCAGCUGUGAAAACUCGAGGCUCAACCUCGAGACGUCGGUUGAAACCGUAUGGCUAGAGUCCGGAAGAGGAGAGUGGAAUUCCCGGUGUAGCGGUGAAAUGCGCAGAUAUCGGGAAGAACACCUAUGGCGAAGGCAGCUCUCUGGGACGGUACUGACGCUGAGACGCGAAAGCGUGGGGAGCAAACAGG
rnacentral:rRNA from 1 species